rnacentral:other from 1 species
UAACACCUGGGAUGUACGACAACCUGUAGUUUUUGAACCUACAUUUCUUUAAACGGGAAUCCUACAUUGCCUAUUGGAUGUCAAGCCUUGAUACGUUGGAAGGCAGAAGAUAGUGUUGCGGACACCCACCUAGCGGUUGGCUAGGAGUCAAAAAUGCAGGAACGGCAUCUUGGGAUUAAC